rnacentral:pre_miRNA from 1 species
UUCGGAUUAAUGGUAGACGUAGGAUUUGAAGACUUUAAAUCCUAGUCUUCCAUUUGUCUUAGAA